UCCCCCCCCUCAGCCCCCCUCUAAUUUUUGGACUCCAUGGAUGAAAGCUUGGGGGCUGGAGCUGGCUGGAGGUUGAAGAAGACCAAUCUUCGCAAUCUGGGCCAGCAAACCAGGAAAUCCCGCCUGCCAGGUCGACCGGCCCAAAUUGCCCGGCAGCCCAUUCAGCCCACUGCCCACCCACUGACCGUCUGACCCACCACACUCCAUCUCCAACUCCAGUUCGGCUUCGGCAGUUCCCCAAUCCCCCAAUCCAAAUCCCUAGCUCGGCUCCUCACUCACGAGUCACGACACGAGUAGAUGAGACGACGUCACGGCGAGGGUGCGGCCGUGCGGAAGCGGAAGAUCAGGGGCGGCGGUGGGAGACCGGCGGGCGGGGGCGGCUCCGCGGCAGCCAGCAGCAACAGGGGCGCAACCAGACCUCGCCGCUGCAUGGACCCGCGGUCUGCCAGUCUCCAUCCACGGCGGAGGCGAGGGCCAAGGGCGCGUGACGGACGCGGUGCUGGCGUGGCCGCGUGGUUGCAGGUGGCCGGACGCGCUAGAGUCCGCACGGGACCGGUGGAGCCAGCCGUGGAGGCGGGGCCGCGGAGGCUCGGCGGCCGGCGUGACAAGGCGCAGCGCGCGGCCGUCCAGUGGCUUACCGGCCUGACGCCGGUGCUGCCGUGCUGGGCUGCUAGCUCACGCUCAGCACCUCAUCCAUAAGAAGUGAAUAUUGAAGAAGGAUCGCUCCUCGUGAAGUACACGACUAAUUAAAAUAGGCAUGGUGCGUCGCAUUAUCCAUUAGUAUGGUAUGGGGCGAAAUUCAUAUUUGUCAUUUUUACUCUUUCUUGUGAAGUACUUUUUCUAUGAUUAUGAUUUCACAUGAAACUAUUCUUAGACUAUUACGUUGCCAUAGUUUGGGAAUAUGACAUGUGUUGAUGAGUUA